GAAAUGCGAUACGUAAUAUGAAUUGCAAAUUCAGUGAAUCAUCGAGUCUUUGAACGCACAUUGCGCCCCCUGGUAUUCCGGGGGGCAUGCCUGUCCGAGCGUCAUUUCUGCCCUCAAGCACGGCUUGUGUGUUGGGCCCCGUCCUCCGAUCCCGGGGGACGGGCCCGAAAGGCAGCGGCGGCACCGCGUCCGGUCCUCGAGCGUAUGGGGCUUUGUCACCCGCUCUGUAGGCCCGGCCGGCGCUUGCCGAUCAACCCAAAUUUUUAUCCAGGUUGACCUCGGAUCAGGUAGGGAUACCCGCUGAACUUAAGC
rnacentral:misc_RNA from 1 species